GCAAACGAAGACUCCACCCACUGUCUGAUUCGUUGGGGUCAGCCAAUUUCCUAUGUGUGCGCAGAAAAGGUCAAAGGAAGUAGCCUCUGGUCCUUGUGUUACUUAGGAAUGGAAAGUUAGGGUGUUCCUUUCAAUUUAGUUCUAGGAAGUCGGUGUGAAACAGCCUUAGGUUCCCUGUCUCCAGACCCUAUUCUCCUGCCUCACUGGGAUUACAGGCAUGAGGCCUAGUAAGAUUUUUCGAUCACUUCUCAAAGUCCGCUCAAAAGUUAAAAACCCCAGUGAGAAAAGCUUUAUAGAUUGAGACAUAUCUAUUAUUAGAGAUGAGAAUAUUGUUCUUAGAGAAUGAGAAUAACCAUCAUUUUUAUGAAGAAUAAGAAUAAAGCAGUUACUAAUUUGCAUGUGAAUCAAAGGAAAUUAACUUUCCAGAUCUAAAACAGUUACAUAACUAUGCUGUUAAUGAAAAAGGCUUUGUAUUUUUCUGGGAGGAAAAAAAGAUAUGGAAAUGGUUCUGGUAAAAAUAUUGUGUAUCAGAAUUCACAGUUAUAGAAAUAUAUACUAUCAGAAAAAGAAUAUCUUCAAAUGGAGUAUUAGUCUUUUUCACAGAAUUGAAUUUUAGUGUGUACGUAAUUGGAAUAUGUAAAUGACAGUUUUCUUGUUAGCUUAGGAAUUGAACAAAGAUCCAACAAAAAAUCUAGGUGUACUUUUUUGGGAAUGAAGGGAUAGAAUUUAUAAAAUGAUUCUAAAAUUCACCUGGAGAAAUAAAGUAAUAAAAACUGAAGAAGAGAAGACUGAGGGAGAAUUUGCUGUAUCAGUAAAAACAUAUUUAUAAAGUUAUAGCAAUGAAGACAGUGUAGUGGUAAUGCAAAAAGGUAGACAGAUCAUUGAAAAAGAGCAGUAAACCCAGGAGUUGAUCUAAGCAUAUUUGUGUUUUAAUCCGUGGUAAGGUAGCUCUUCAGAUAUUUUGGGGAAGGAAGGGAGUGAAUUACUCAAUAAAUACAACUGGGAAGUUGGUUAUUUGCUAGGGAAAUAACUAAGCCAUUUUUCUUUGUUAUACAAAUCACUUAAAUGAAAUUAUAGUUCCUUUAAUAUUUAUGUAAAAAAGGAAUCGUAAAAUGUGUAAAAUAUAAAUAUUUGAUCUUAAGGUAAAGAAAACCUUUCUAAGCAUAAAAGCAAAGAAAGAAAAAACUAGGGCAAAGUGAUAUAACCCUUAAAACAGAAUUAAAAGGCAAAUGACAAGCUAAUGGAAAACAGUAAAAUAUAUGACAAAUUAAUUUCCCCUAUCUGUAGAGUGCGCUUACAUAUAUUUCAUUGUGCUCAGUAGUAAAUUGGGGAAAUGAUAUAAAUAAGCAAUUUACAAAAAGAAGAUUCCUGUGUUUCAAAAAAUUUUCAAUUUAACCUGUAAUCAAAAAGAAGAAGAAGAAUGGCAAUGAGAUGAACAUUAGUGAGAUGCCCCACCAAAUCAGAUACUAUUUCUGUGACUCUUGGGUUUCAACAGGUGACAUUUCCUCCAGAGCUGGUAGGUAUGGAAUACAAUCAGUUUGAGUAUGUGUAUUUAAAAGCCUUGAAACUGUCAUACCGUUUAAACCAGUAAUUCUACUUUCACAAGUUUGUCUUAAAGUAAUCAGAGCUGUAUAUGAAUGUUGAUGCUCAAAGAUGUUUAUUGUUCCUACUAUUUUAAAAUAGUGAUUAAUUGGAAAUCACCUUAAUGUCUAACAGAAAAAGAUUGGUUAGGUUAAUUAUGCUCCUUAUAGAAUGGACUACUAUGUAAUCAUUUAUUUAAGACUUUGGAAAAUACAGUGUAUGAAAUGAAAAUAGAUUUGUUGAAUAUUAUCCCAGUUUUUAAAAUUGUGUGUGUUUGUGUGUG
rnacentral:lncRNA from 10 species